CCACCUUUGUCAGCUGAAUAAGGAUUCUUCAAUCACAUUUUUGUUAAUUCCACUAAGCGAAAGUGAAGUGCGAUCCGUUUACUCCUUUGUUCUAUUAUUUCAGCAGUCAGAUAACGAGUUCUGCUAAUUUGUUUUUCACGCGGAUCGAGCUUUCUAGCCGUUGAUUUAAUCCAAAUGAGUUUUCAAUACAAUUCAUCACUUUUUUGGAUACAUAAGUUAGAUUUCUCUUCUUCGAUAUAUGCUCUUCUCUGUUUUCUCCCUUAGCUCUCUCUCUCUCUCUCUCUCUCUCUCUCGGUGCUCUUGGGACGACGUAGUUCCUCCAUCGCCGCCUCCACCUUUGCUACUCUCGGUGACCAGAUCAAGUUGGGUCUUUGCAUCUGCAAUCAAAGCCAGGUAUUGGGGAUAUGCCGGAGAGCUUCGCGGCGGAGAUUCUAGACCUGUCCCACUCUCUCUUGAAGCUUCUCAAUCUGGAUCUGGCAUAUCGCUGGACCAUCAACCAUCGUCUUCUCUUUUUCCUGGCAUUCGCUAUCUUAUUAUCUUUUCAUUUUAUUCUUCUGUUGAAGUUUACAACUUUGGGGCUCGUAUCUUAUCUUUAUAUUCUUUUUUACAGCCAUGGAUUCUUCUUUUCAAAACCAAAGAAGGCUACUUUUCUACUGUCAUCGCACAGAGUUGGUAUUCAAGAUUAUGAAUUUCCUGAAGCCAAGGUAGAUUUUUCAAUCAACAACUCAAUUUGCCCAGUUAAACUCUUUAUCAGUAAUUUCUAAUUUAGAUUUCGUGCCUUUCUUGUUAAAGUUUACAAUUUGGCCAUUAAUUAUGUUGAUUUUGCUUCAUUAUUGGGAUUUUAGGAUUGUUUUAGGGUUCAAAUCAUCAAUUGGGUUACUAUCAGGCCUUUGGGUUAUGCCUUGUUGAUUCUUGAUUGAUAUUCAAUUGGGUAAUGGUAGUGGGUAUAAGCACCGAAGCCUCUAUAACCUCAAAUUUUAAUGAUGCCAUGUUCUGCAUCAGUAGAUUGAUUUUCCUGGGCACUAUGUUAAAAUAUCAUCUCUAAAAUACAAUCUUGUGCUGAGAUGUUAUAAAACAAUGUAUAGAAUCUAAUUAGUAGUGUGUUUGCUUCUACAAAACAAUGUAUAGAAUCUAAUUUUGCAGGUAUCUUGAACAAAUGACUAAUUUCUUUUGUUCCUGAUUGGAAUAUUGUCUCAAGAAUACAAACAUGGCAAAGAGAACAGAUGCAGGACUUUGGAAUAUGAAGUUGCUUUGGAAGGAUUUAGUUAUGUGUUUCUUUUUUACAAUUAUGAGCUCUGGGAUCUUAACAUUUCAGGGGAGAAACUUGAAGAAAUAUGUAUACGCUGGGAAUUUGAUUCGAGUGAUGAUUCAAGAUGUGGAAUUUAUUGUACUCUGCGUUGGUCAAUUCAUGAUUUUUUGGAAGGAUUUUUCAUUUAAUGCUAUCUUUUACCGAGAAUGUUAUUGCACCUUUCGAUAUUAAUGUUAUUUUGUAUUCAUCA